rnacentral:lncRNA from 7 species
AAGGAAGGGGAGGGAGAGGCAGCAGCUCCAUAUUAAUGGGUUCCUUAAAGAGCAGCCUGGCACAGGGCUAUUGUGUCUGGAGCUAAGAUCCAGGUCUCAUCCCAAGGACUACUCAAGAAUCACAGUGGUGGGAAUUAAGCUCAGGGUGUUCCUUAUCCCAUCACAGCUGGAUGAGUUCUAGCUAUUUACCAAAUGGAAAGGACAAGCAGCUUAAGGAAUUCAGAGCUCCAACACUCCAAUAAGAAAAUUGCAUCUCUGUGCAUGUGCUGAAGCAGCAGGGGUGAGCUGGCCAUAGCAGUUAACCUUCACUCUACAUUCUGGAUCACAGUUAGAGUUGGCAGCCUCCAGAGCAUGAUGGUUUUCCUUAGCCACAGUGUGACAUUUCUUCUGCAUACCAAUUGAGGAAGCAGGCACACUGGUCUUAUUUUGUCAGCAAAGUAGAAGGAGCAAGCACAGUUUGCAGAUGGCAUAAUUUGAGGAAUGCCUUUCAAUUCCUCCUCCAGCAUGUAAAAUCUUCUCCGCAGCAGACUGUCCCACUCCUACUCUAGGAUUUCAAGAAGGUUUAGUCUUAUUAUUACUCUUGCUAACAGAAAACACUGGAAUAGAUUCUUUCUUAUAUCAUUGAAAAGAGUGAGUUGCAUCCAAAUGUAAACAUUUAGAUAGUUCACACUCAUUUCAGUGACAUUUUCCAUUUUGUUAUGAAAAACAUUUGCAUUAGCAAGGUAAUGAAGAUUUUUGCAGCUUAUUUUACUUUUAAAAACCUGUACCUUUUCUCUUCUUUUGGAGAGCUUGGUUUUCUCACUUUUAACUUCAUGCAACCUGUCUUUUUGCAAUAGAAAUUUAAGAAAAGGGAAGUGAAAUGAAAGUGGAUUUUGUUACACUUUGCCAAUGCUGCUUCUUUCACUUUUAUUCUUGUUCUCUUUUUCAAGUGGAAGGACAAGGUGUAAUUAAAAAUUUAAGGCAAUGUUAAUAUAAAUGUGAAUGAAACAUUUCUUGUAUUUUUCACCUUUAAAAAGCUAAACUAUUUCAAUUAGAUGCUCCAGAAAAAGUGUUUUUCUGUUUGCCUAUCCUUUCCUGAAGUCUAAAGGCAACCAAACUUACACUAUUCAUUAUCACCUGGAACGUAUGUUUUCUUUCUUGUAUUCCAUUCUGUCCUUCCCCGUUCAUGUGUUUUUCUUUAAGAACUUACACAGUCAGCAGAUAAUUUCAACAUCAUUUGUCAAGGUGGAAAAUUUCUUAAAAUUCUGCUAACUUUCAAUAAAAUAUAUGACU